CCGCGCGGCAGUCGGUAACGCGCGCUCGCGGGGACGGCCGUGUCGACCCCGCGUCUGAGCGCUCGCGAGUGUUGUGACACGCAGUGAAGUGCAAACGCGCUCCAUACUAUAGCUCUCCUCUUAUAGUAUUGUUCGAGUGACGCUUCGCUCAAGCAUGCUGAUGGUACAGACCAACGCCCAACCCAUGAAGACCAGCAAACUGAAGGGGCCGCCACCCGUGCCACCGCGGCCCAACCAGAGUGUGGUAGCUGAGGCCCUUGCGAAGACGAGGAAGGCCGUUGCUGAAUCCAAGGUCAAUCUAUCGAAGUCGCGGGUGAAACCAGACACCACUGCAAAAGCCAAAACAUUAGAACGAACCAAUGCCGUGAAUCAGACCACUGUUUCGCCCAAACAGAACGGUUUAGCACGAGUUAAGUCGUUCAUCCGCGAUGUCAUCAGUGAUCGAAGCUCUUCUUCCGACGAACGAAGGUCUAGCGGACAAAACUCUAGGCGGAGUUCGAGCGACAGUAGCUCGAUACCGACGCCGGCGCCGACGAAAAGAUCUAACGAGUCCCUAAACUCUAAAGCGGUGAAAACAUGUAAACAAAUUUUAGUGCGAUCUCUUUCCACGUCUAACAAGUUAGACCAAGACGCUAAGUGUAAAGUGACGAAAUCGUCAAGUUUUGCUGAGAAAACAUUGCCAUUGAGGAAAGCUCCUCCUCCGCCUUUAUCACCUAAACCUAAGUUGAAACCAAUGAAGCCUUUACCUAUACAGAAAAAGUCUACAAGCAGUAACCGUAGUUCCCCAAAGCAAUCGCCGGAUAUAAGUCCUUAUUCAUCACCAAUAGAUGCGAAGCCCCCACAGAGCCCUUUAUCAGAAGCGCCCUAUGCUACUGUGGAGGAAGUUCAGGAAUUUGAUGAUAGAUUACGUAACAGUCCUUCUAAGCAAGUCAAUAACACUCCGGAUACGCGCGAGGUUUCUACAAGCCCGAAACGUGACGACAAUGUAAAUAAAAAUACCAAUUCCUUAGAGCGAAAAACGUCAAGGGUCACCGAAUUGUUAAUUUCAGAAAUACUUGCGAGUCGAAACAAGGACGAUGCAAAUAUUGUUAUCGACAAAGGCAAAGAUUCUGAGAAUCUAAAUGGUGUUGAUUCGCCGGAAAUUGAGUUGAUGAAGGACAUGAACAACCACGAGAUGUUGAUUUAUGAGUUGCAGACGAUGCACUCGCAGUCCAGUGUUCCCAGCGCGUUAGAAGCGAAGGACAUUAAUGAAAGAAACGGACAUUGUGAUUCUGAGGAUUCGGAACAGAAUUAUGCUAUGUCUUCUGUCACAAGUGGAAAUACAGACGAUGGAUACGACCAAGCUUACGCUUACAUUUUGGACGAUGACCUCAAGUCUAGACUUCGCAAGCAGUUCCGCGCUAUCAGCACCAUGUCGCUCCAAGGGCUGCCUCCUCUGCCCAAGAGCCUCAGCGGAUUCGCAGAGGGAGAACCUGAGGACCAGGAGCCUCCGUCCUCGCCCUCCGAUCCGCCCCCCACUGACCUCGACUCGCAGCUCACGUAUCUGAAGAAAGAAAUGGCGUCGCUCCGGCAGCUGGACCUGUCCCUGCUCUCGGAGCUGUGGUCACUGAGCGAGGCUAUGGCGUCGUGGCGGCGUCAGCUCGAGCGCACGCCCCGGCUGCGGCCCGCGCCGCCGCCGCCGCCCCCGCCGCACUACUUAAGAACGUAAUAAAUAUAUUAAAUGGAUUAAGCAACACUUGUUUCAAUUGUACACCUUUCUUGAGAGGCUGAUUUACACGUGAUAACUAGAUAAGUAGGUAUAGCCUGACCAGGAACAUAAAAACCCUCGCCAUAUUGCGGAAAACUAAUGGUACUAAUUUCUUUUAAUGGCAACAGUAACUGAAAACUUCAUUGUCAUGUCACCUUGCAUGUCAGUCUAUUGCUGUCAAAGUGUAAACAAACUUUAUUUUAAAUGUGCGCAAUUGAUUUUGUGAAUUAAAUUGCUAAAAUCUUUUUAUAGUCGUGAAAGAAAAGUGGUUUACAAUGUGUUAAAGUAUUUGUCGCAGAGAAAUACUAAGGGUUCGGACAAUAUUUUCAUUGAAUAAUGUUUCCGACAAAGGUUGUCAAAUUGACUGACAUGUUUAUCGCAUAGUACAGUCCACUAUGAAAAUUAGCUGUGGUUUGUUUCAACUACCUAUUUUAAAAAAAUUUGUCACUUUCUAAGUGUUGAAUUUUAUGGAAUUGGGAAAGAAGUACCGAGUUUGAAGCGUUCAUGAGCAAACAUUGCAGUUGAAUAUUCAAGUUCUGAAUUUGAUUAUUGAUGAAUAAUAAAAUAAAUCCUACUAGCUCGAUUGAUGGUUUCAUUUAAUUUAUUUAAACCAGGCUACCUAUAAUAAUAUUUUUUCGUUAAUUUAUGAAAAUAUCAAAUUAGCCCGUAAUCCUGAAUCCUGAUACAUAAAGUUAGCCUAUUAAUUUAACAUAGGUACGACUGUACUCAGUGUUGCACUAUCAAAUGCAAUUGACGCGCCUCUAUGCCAGGGUUUUUAUGUUCCUGGUCAGGCUAUAUGCAAAAUCACUUGAAACCUAUGUUACAGUUAGGCUUUUACAUUUACAAAUACAUUAGUUUUUAUUUCAUUCAAAAAUACCCAGUAGUUAUGAUUUAUAGGCAUUCAAAGUUCGCUUAAAUAUUGAGUGCCGCCGACGGUCACGUGACCCCGCGUGACGUACAUUCACAGUAUCCGCUCACUAGAAAACGGAUAUAAACAUACUUAAAUACAUUUUUUUUUUGUAAAUACAAACUUAUUAUACAUAUUAACACCCAGACCCAUCACAGAAAUUAAAAUUGAACCAAACCCAAAUUUGAUGCGA